GAUGAACGCUGGCGGCGUGCCUAAUACAUGCAAGUCGAGCGAACAGACGAGGAGCUUGCUCCUCUGACGUUAGCGGCGGACGGGUGAGUAACACGUGGAUAACCUACCUAUAAGACUGGGAUAACUUCGGGAAACCGGAGCUAAUACCGGAUAAUAUAUUGAACCGCAUGGUUCAAUAGUGAAAGACGGUUUUGCUGUCACUUAUAGAUGGAUCCGCGCCGCAUUAGCUAGUUGGUAAGGUAACGGCUUACCAAGGCAACGAUGCGUAGCCGACCUGAGAGGGAGACUGAGCCAACUGGAACUGAGACGGGGUCCAAAACCCGAGGGGGGGCAGCAGUGGGGAAUCUUACGCAAUGGGGGAAAGGUGAACGGAGCAAAGCCGAGUGAGAGAUGAAGGUGUUCGGAUCAUAAAACUAUGUUAUAAGGGGAAAAAAAAAGGGUAAGCAAAAGGGAAGCUUUUGACGGUACCUAACCAAAAAGCCACGGCUAACUACGU
rnacentral:rRNA from 1 species